CCUGCCCGCACUCAGGGCAGGCUUUCCUGCCUCUUCGCGGGGAAGCACGCGCGUGCACGUUUGUACACGCACGUGGCGACACACACUCGGGUCUUUUCCAUGUAAGUGGGAUCACGCGGUAGCCGUUUGCUCCCUUCACUUCCUGGUGUCUCCUUUCGUAUCAGUACACGCAGAACUUCACUCCCCGCUACAGAAACAUCGUGGUCUGUUUAGUUUUUAUUUCGUUAUUAUUACUUUCUAUGCAGGGACUGGGGAUUGAAGUCAGGACCUCGCGCUUGCUCAGCGCAUGCUCUACCACUGAGCUGUACCCCCACCCCCGACCCCCCGAGACAACACAGGUUAAACUACUUUAUCUUUUGCACAGAUUUCCAGAGGCCAUGGUGCAAGGUCAAAGGGCACACGCACUACGUCUCGUUAGGCCCGGCCGAACUGCCUCCCAAUAACCUCCGCCAGCUGAACAGGAGCGGCCGUUUCCGGAUUCGUUCUUGCCAACAUUUGAUGCCGUUCAUCUUUCGAAGUUCCGCCAGCCUGAGGGGCGGGAGGAAGAUCUUGCCGCGACGCGUAUCUCCUAGCUGCCGAGGAGCUCGGACGUAAGAGCCCCAGGAGCAGUGAGCCCGCCCAGCGUCCAGCCUUGGCUUCUGAGACCGCUGCCCGCCAGGAGGACCCGAACCUUUCUGGAGAGACGGCUGACUCCAGGUCACAGGAUUUCCAGGGGACAGAGGAGCAGGUUAAAUGACAGUGAGAGGAAACAGUCAGGCACAUCCACUGUGGGGCCAUUCUAAAGAUUACAAGGUUUGGAGUCUUCAGAAGGCCAAUGUUACGGGGUGGAGGGGGAACCCCAGGCCACCGUGGCACAAAAGAGACCCCCUAUCCACACGCAAUGUGGGAACCUGAUGAGAUCCUGCUAAAAACACACCGAACAACCAACCAAACAAAAAAUACAUGAAAGACGAAUUUGGGGCCAUUGGGAAACAUGGCUGUGGGUGAGGGAUGGGGGCUCCGUGGAAUCACGGCGGGAGUGGAUCUGUCAC